GGGGUUGUGGCUCAGCGGUAAAGCACUCGCCUAGCACAUGAGAGGCCCUGAGUUCGAUCCUCAGCACCA
rnacentral:tRNA from 1 species